GUUUAAAAUCUGUAUUUCUUAAGAAUAUCACAACUUUCAUAAAUACAACCUAUUUUCAUGUUUGUAAUGUUCUAUAAAUAUUGUUCACAAAUUUGUAUCAAACAAGCCCUCAAAAGUUAUUUUUUUACAAACUUGUAGAAAAUAAGUCUUUGAAAUCUAACAAAGGUCAACAAAUCUCAUACAAAACAAAGUAUUAAAAUCUGAGUAAAAGUUACAAAACAAAAUAUAUAAUAACUUGAUCUUAGCAAUAAAAACAUAAACAUUACAUCUUAGGCACAGAAAAACAUAACAUCGUAAUGUCAACGGUGGGAAACUGUAUUGUAUAAGUGGGUUGUCUGAAGCAUAAAAUCUACAUACAACAUUCCAAGUCUAAAUCUCAUAUAAUUUAUAUCUCUCUUAACAGUUUGGGGGCUCUGAUCAUAUAUGAAAAGGGUUGUCUUGUGUUUGUAUUUAUAAUUUGUAUACUGUGUAUUAUAAUAGUUUUAAAGAAACAUAUUCCUACAUUCUCUGGCUGCCAUCUUGGAUGGUAUAUAGAACUAGUAUUUUUGAUAUCUAUCAAGAAAACUAACAAAUCUCCAAUUGGAGAUGAAGGCAAAUAAUUUAUAUCCAAAAAAAUCUCAUGUAGCAAUCUAGGAUACUAGGUUUCGUUUUCUCAUAAUGUUCUUAAAGAAUCUAUCCAGAUUUCAUUGUACCAAAGUUUGAUUUCAAUAAGCAAAAGUAGUUAAAAGGAAAAUUGUAUUGCUGCUUUUAACAAGAAACAAAGGGAAGAUUCAUAAGGAGAAAUAGCUCAUGCUGGUCAUUUGUGCAUAGAAAGCUGAAAUCAUUAAAAAUCCAGGAGAAAUAUACCUUAUUUCUGUUAAGUAGCAGGAUACUUGAUGAAAACUUAAAAUACAAAAUGAAACUUUUGUGUACUUUAACAGUGCAUUUGCUGGAUUAGACCCUGUGUAAAAGUUCCAAUCAAUUAAAAUUUUCAAUUGUAACAUAUACAAUUAUAAGUACACAUAAUUAUUAAGUAAAUGACCAGAAAAUUGUUUUGAUUUUUUAAUAUUUGUAAAAAUAGAUAUAAAACUAUAACAAAACAUAAUAAGAGUGAAAGAAUCUAACAACAAAACUGUACAAAAACUAAUUUCCACUGUAUAGACUUAAAAAAGAGGGGUGGAAAGAUACCAGAGGGACAGUCAAAGUCAUAGAUCGUAAAUAAACUGACAAUAUGAUAUUAUAUAUAAAAAAAACAUAAAAAGAAGAAACAAAAAAAUAUUACCUUAAGUUUAAAAAUCAGAAACCC
rnacentral:lncRNA from 1 species